rnacentral:rRNA from 1 species
CAGUCGCCGCGGUAAUACGUAGGUGGCAAGCGUUGUCCGGAAUUAUUGGGCGUAAAGGGCUCGCAGGCGGUUUCUUAAGUCUGAUGUGAAAGCCCCCGGCUCAACCGGGGAGGGUCAUUGGAAACUGGGAAACUUGAGUGCAGAAGAGGAGAGUGGAAUUCCACGUGUAGCGGUGAAAUGCGUAGAGAUGUGGAGGAACACCAGUGGCGAAGGCGACUCUCUGGUCUGUAACUGACGCUGAGGAGCGAAAGCGUGGGGAGCGGACGGGAUUAGAUACCCGGGUAGUCCCUGUCUCUUAUAC